AGAGCGUACGGUGGAUGCCUUGGCACCAGGAGCCGAUGAAGGACGUAGGAGGCUGCGAUAAGCCUCGGGGAGCUGUCAACCGAGCUGUGAUCCGAGGGUGUCCGAAUGGGGAAACCCAGCACGAGUGAUGUCGUGUUACCCGCAUCUGAAUAUAUAGGGUGUGUGGAGGGAACGUGGGGAAGUGAAACAUCUCAGUACCCACAGGAAGAGAAAACAAUAGUGAUUCCGUGAGUAGUGGCGAGCGAAAGCGGAUGAGGCCAAACUUUGUGCGUGUGAUACCCGGCAGGGGUUGCGUAUGGAGGGUUGUGGGGUUUGCAUUGUCGAUUCUGCCGGAUCGGCCGACAGUGAGAAAUUGUGGUGUUAGUCGAAGUGGUCUGGAACGGCCUGUCGUAGAGGGUGAGAGUCCCGUAGACGAAAACAUUGCAACUGUCGUUGUGGAUACCCAAGUAGCAGCGGGCCCGUGAAAUCUGCUGUGAAUCUGUCGGGACCACCCGAUAAGCCUGAAUACUCCCUGGUGACCGAUAGCGGACUAGUACCGUGAGGGAAAGGUGAAAAGUACCCCGGGAGGGGAGUGAAAUAGUACCUGAAACCGUGCGCUUACAAUCCGUCAAAGCCGUCGAACAGUUUACUGUUGGUGGUGAUGGCGUGCCUUUUGAAGAAUGAGCCUGCGAGUUAGUGGCAUGUCGCGAGGUUAACCCGUGUGGGGUAGCCGUAGCGAAAGCGAGUCCGAAUAGGGCGUAUCCACCUUGUGUGGUGUAGUGGCGUGUUCUAGACCCGAAGCGGAGUGAUCUACCCAUGGCCAGGUUGAAGCGACGGUAAGACGUCGUGGAGGACCGAACCCACUUAGGUUGAAAACUGAGGGGAUGAGUUGUGGGUAGGGGUGAAAGGCCAAUCAAACUCCGUGAUAGCUGGUUCUCCCCGAAAUGCAUUUAGGUGCAGCGUCACGUGUUUCUCACCGGAGGUAGAGCUACUGGAUGGUCUAGGGGGCCUACAAGCUUACCGAAAUCAGCCAAACUCCGAAUGCCGGUGAGUGAGAGCGUGGCAGUGAGACUGCGGGCGAUAAGGUUCGUAGUCGAGAGGGAAACAGCCCAGAUCGCCAGCUAAGGUCCCUAAGCGUGUACUAAGUGGAAAAGGAUGUGGGGUCGCGAAGACAACCAGGAGGUUGGCUUAGAAGCAGCCACCCUUGAAAGAGUGCGUAAUAGCUCACUGGUCAAGUGAUCCUGCGCCGACAAUGUAGCGGGGCUCAAGUACACCACCGAAGCUGCGGCACUCACACAAUAGCCCGCUUCAUGUUUGCGGGUGUUUGUGCAGGUGUGUGGGUGGGUAGGGGAGCGUCGUGCAGCCAUGGAAGCAUCGGAGUGAUCCAGGUGUGGAGGCUGCGCGAGUGAGAAUGCAGGCAUGAGUAGCGAAAGACGAGUGAGAAACUCGUCCGCCGAAUGACCAAGGGUUCCUGGGCCAGGUUAAUCCGCCCAGGGUGAGUCGGGACCUAAGACGAGGCCGACAGGCGUAGCCGAUGGACAACGGGUUGAUAUUCCCGUACCCGUGUAACCGCGCCCAUGGUGAAUCAGUGACACUAACCACCCUGAAUCCAUAUGACCGAUCUCUUUCGAGAGUGAGGCGUGUGGUGGAUGCGUGGGACCUGAUCUGGUAGUAGCCAAGCGAUGGGGUGACGCAGGAAGGUAGCUGGGCCAGUCAGUGGUUGUACUGGUGUAAGCCUGUAGGGCGAACGGUAGGCAAAUCCGCCGUUCAUCAAGCCUGAGAGGUGAUGCGUAGCCGAUUGAGGCGAAUUCAGUGAUCCUAUGCUGCCGAGAAAAGCCUCUAGUGAGUUGUUACACGGCCCGUACCCCAAACCGACACAGGUGGUCAGGUAGAGAAUACUAAGGCGAUCGAGAUAACUAUGGUUAAGGAACUCGGCAAAAUGCCCCCGUAACUUCGGGAGAAGGGGGGCCCCUGCCGGUGAUCACUCUUGCAGUGUGAGCUGGUGUGGGCCGCAGAGACCAGUGAGAAGCGACUGUUUACUAAAAACACAGGUCCGUGCGAAGUCGUAAGACGAUGUAUACGGACUGACGCCUGCCCGGUGCUGGAAGGUUAAGAGGACCGGUUAGCCAGUAAUGGCGAAGCUGAGAAUUUAAGCCCCAGUAAACGGCGGUGGUAACUAUAACCAUCCUAAGGUAGCGAAAUUCCUUGUCGGGUAAGUUCCGACCUGCACGAAUGGCGUAACGACUUCUCAGCUGUCUCAACCAUAGACUCGGCGAAAUUGCAUUACGAGUAAAGAUGCUCGUUACGCGCGGCAGGACGAAAAGACCCCGGGACCUUCACUACAGCUUGGUAUUGGUGUUCGGUUCGGUUUGUGUAGGAUAGGUGGGAGACUGUGAAGCGGUGACGCCAGUUACUGUGGAGUCGUUGUUGAAAUACCACUCUGAUCGUAUUGGAUACCUCAACCUCGGACCAUGAUCUGGUUCAGGGACAGUGCCUGGUGGGUAGUUUAACUGGGGCGGUUGCCUCCUAAAAUGUAACGGAGGCGCCCAAAGGUUCCCUCAGCCUGGUUGGCAAUCAGGUGUUGAGUGCAAGUGCACAAGGGAGCUUGACUGUGAGACUGACAAGUCGAGCAGGGACGAAAGUCGGGACUAGUGAUCCGGCACCGGCAAGUGGAAGCGGUGUCGCUCAACGGAUAAAAGGUACCCCGGGGAUAACAGGCUGAUCUUCCCCAAGAGUCCAUAUCGACGGGAUGGUUUGGCACCUCGAUGUCGGCUCGUCGCAUCCUGGGGCUGGAGUAGGUCCCAAGGGUUGGGCUGUUCGCCCAUUAAAGCGGCACGCGAGCUGGGUUUAGAACGUCGUGAGACAGUUCGGUCUCUAUCCGCCGCGCGCGUAAGAAACUUGAGGAAGGCUGUCCCUAGUACGAGAGGACCGGGACGGACGAACCUCUGGUGUGCCAGUUGUUCCACCAGGAGCACCGCUGGUUGGCUACGUUCGGAAGGGAUAACCGCUGAAAGCAUCUAAGCGGGAAGCCUGUUCCAAGAUGAGGUUUCU
rnacentral:rRNA from 1 species